CCUACGGGUGGCAGCAGUGAGGAAUAUUGGUCAAUGGGCUUACGCCUGAACCAGCCAAGUCGCGUGAGGGAAGACUGCCCUAUGGGUUGUAAACCUCUUUUGUCAGGGAGCAACGCCGGCUACGUGUAGCCGGACUGAGAGUACCUGAAGAAAAAGCAUCGGCUAACUUCGUGCCAGCAGCCGCGGUAAUACGUAGGAUGCGAGCGUUAUCCGGAUUUAUUGGGUUUAAAGGGUGCGUAGGCGGAUUGAUAAGUUAGAGGUGAAAUGUCCGAGCUUAACUCGGGAACUGCCUCUAAUACUGUUGAUCUAGAGAGUAGAUGCGGUAGGCGGAAUGUAUGGUGUAGCGGUGAAAUGCUUAGAUAUCACGCAGAACCCCGAUUGCGAAGGCAGCAUGCCGGCUUCCGACUGACGCUGAAGCACGAAAGCGUGGGGAUCGAACAGGAUUAGAUACCCUGGUAGUC
rnacentral:rRNA from 1 species